UUGAAUUGAAGAGUUUGAUCAUGGCUCAGAUUGAACGCUGGCGGCAGGCUUAACACAUGCAAGUCGAACGGUAGCAGGAGAAAGCUUGCUUUCUUGCUGACGAGUGGCGGACGGGUGAGUAAUGCUUGGGAAUCUGGCU
rnacentral:rRNA from 1 species